rnacentral:misc_RNA from 1 species
UGCUUAUCCUGGUCAAGCUCCUCCAAUGGGUCGGGGUCCACCUCCGCCGCUUCCGCCUCAGUUUGCCGGUAGGCCACCACAACAGGGUUUCCCUAUGCCGCCACAGUUUGCACAGAGGCCAAUGGGAAUGCCACCCCAGCAACAGGCACCCAUGAUGAGAGGGCCUCCUGCUCCACCAAGACCUGGAAUGCAACCCCCACCUCCUCGCCCUGGAAUGCCUCCUCCGGCAGGUGGUGUUCCUGUUUAUGGACCUCCUCGUCCUGGCAUGCCACCACCUCCUCACAAUCCCCAACAGCAGCAGCAUAUUCAGCAGCAACAAUGAUUAGGGCUGUUGCAGUUGUGCUUUGAAAGUUCUCAGAUGAAGUUUGUAGAAGGGCUUUCUCAAGUGCUGAAGUCUUUAUUGAGUUUCGCCUUGCGCUGUGCACAUCUAAUGUCGAUUUCACUAGCAUUUUGAACUA